UUGGGGAAGUGCCUCUGUCCUGAACGGGGGAAGCGCUGGGACCGGCAGCGUCCUGCUUCCGCGCGUGCUCGGCUGUUGUAAAUGCACCAGCAAAGUCUCGGUGACGGACGCGGAUGCUUCGGGGGCUUUGUGGCUGUUGGUAGGGGGCCAGGGGUGCUGCGGUAGCGGUGGAGCAUGUUUGCCCCCCGUUUCCUUCCGUGGUUGGAGCGAUGGCAGCGGCCGGAGCCGCUGGGGCAGGCUGACAUUGGGGAACAAGCUUUCUCUGUAUCUUUGUAUCUUUAAUUGUGUAGUUUGUGACGUUCGAGGCGUGUGACUUUUGAGCAGGGCGCUGCAGCCAUGCCAGGCUGUGAAUGGAGCGGCUCCAGGGGGUGACAUAGAGCUGGGAGCGGCCCAGGGACUUCUCCACACCCGGGGAGCGGGGCUGGGUCCGGGGCUGGCUGGCAGCCGGCGAGGAGGAGAACCGUCUGAGGACUUUCUUUUUUUUUUCCUUUCCCUUGGCAGUCUAAGUUUGCACCUUUUCUUGCAAACUUAGACUCAAAAUGUUGCGAUGGCCGGGCUGUUCUGCCAUCCCUCUUCACCCCCUCCUUCCUUCCCAGAAGACGUUUUGCUCUGCGUGUUGCUGCUUUUUGCAACUCUGUCACAUGCAGGAGCUGUCAGAGAGCAUUAGGUCUGUAGAGCCCUUGCUUCCAUCUUCCAGGGAAAUCAGCACAAGAGUCUGUCCGGGGCUCUCCAGGGUGCUCCCCAGAUUACUUCUGCCAGGAGCAGGCUGCCCUGCACCGUGCCCAGGCAGCGCCUCCAGGCUUCUCUUCCCUCUUGGCUUCCAUUUGUCCCAAUUAACGGGCACAGGAAGUGAAAUUUCAGAGGAGGAUGCGUGAAGCGCAGCUGAGAUGCAGGCGGCGGAGUUUUGUGCUGGAAGAUGGGAACAACGGCAGGCACAGGCAUCUUGCACAUGUAAUGGAGAGCCCGCUCUUCUUUAAUCAAAAUAAUAAACAUUGAUUCAUAACUUGA